rnacentral:rRNA from 1 species
UUCGUCACACUAUCAUUAACUGAAUCCAUAGGUUAAUGAGGCGAACCGGGGGAACUGAAACAUCUAAGUACCCCGAGGAAAAGAAAUCAACCGAGAUUCCCCCAGUAGCGGCGAGCGAACGGGGAGGAGCCCAGAGCCUGAAUCAGUGUGUGUGUUAGUGGAAGCGUCUGGAAAGGCGCGCGAUACAGGGUGACAGCCCCGUACACAAAAAUGCACAUGCUGUGAGCUCGAUGAGUAGGGCGGGACACGUGGUAUCCUGUCUGAAUAUGGGGGGACCAUCCUCCAAGGCUAAAUACUCCUGACUGACCGAUAGUGAACCAGUACCGUGAGGGAAAGGCGAAAAGAACCCCGGCGAGGGGAGUGAAAAAGAACCUGAAACCGUGUACGUACAAGCAGUGGGAGCACGCUUAGGCGUGUGACUGCGUACCUUUUGUAUAAUGGGUCAGCGACUUAUAUUCUGUAGCAAGGUUAACCGAAUAGGGGAGCCGAAGGGAAACCGAGUCUUAACUGGGCGUUAAGUUGCAGGGUAUAGACCCGAAACCCGGUGAUCUAGCCAUGGGCAGGUUGAAGGUUGGGUAACACUAACUGGAGGACCGAACCGACUAAUGUUGAAAAAUUAGCGGAUGACUUGUGGCUGGGGGUGAAAGGCCAAUCAAACCGGGAGAUAGCUGGUUCUCCCCGAAAGCUAUUUAGGUAGCGCCUCGUGAAUUCAUCUCCGGGGGUAGAGCACUGUUUCGGCAAGGGGGUCAUCCCGACUUACCAACCCGAUGCAAACUGCGAAUACCGGAGAAUGUUAUCACGGGAGACACACGGCGGGUGCUAACGUCCGUCGUGAAGAGGGAAACAACCCAGACCGCCAGCUAAGGUCCCAAAGUCAUGGUUAAGUGGGAAACGAUGUGGGAAGGCCCAGACAGCCAGGAUGUUGGCUUAGAAGCAGCCAUCAUUUAAAGAAAGCGUAAUAGCUCACUGGUCGAGUCGGCCUGCGCGGAAGAUGUAACGGGGCUAAACCAUGCACCGAAGCUGCGGCAGCGACGCUUAUGCGUUGUUGGGUAGGGGAGCGUUCUGUAAGCCUGUGAAGGUGUGCUGUGAGGCAUGCUGGAGGUAUCAGAAGUGCGAAUGCUGACAUAAGUAACGAUAAAGCGGGUGAAAAGCCCGCUCGCCGGAAGACCAAGGGUUCCUGUCCAACGUUAAUCGGGGCAGGGUGAGUCGACCCCUAAGGCGAGGCCGAAAGGCGUAGUCGAUGGGAAACAGGUUAAUAUUCCUGUACUUGGUGUUACUGCGAAGGGGGGACGGAGAAGGCUAUGUUGGCCGGGCGACGGUUGUCCCGGUUUAAGCGUGUAGGCUGGUUUUCCAGGCAAAUCCGGAAAAUCAAGGCUGAGGCGUGAUGACGAGGCACUACGGUGCUGAAGCAACAAAUGCCCUGCUUCCAGGAAAAGCCUCUAAGCAUCAGGUAACAUCAAAUCGUACCCCAAACCGACACAGGUGGUCAGGUAGAGAAUACCAAGGCGCUUGAGAGAACUCGGGUGAAGGAACUAGGCAAAAUGGUGCCGUAACUUCGGGAGAAGG